rnacentral:rRNA from 1 species
GUGGGGAAUUUUGGACAAUGGGCGCAAGCCUGAUCCAGCAAUGCCGCGUGUGUGAAGAAGGCCUUCGGGUUGUAAAGCACUUUUGGCAGGAAAGAAAUAGCGCGUGCUAAUACCAUGCGCGAAUGACGGUACCUGCAGAAUAAGCACCGGCUAACUACGUGCCAGCAGCCGCGGUAAGACGUAGGGUGCAAGCGUUAAUCGGAAUUACUGGGCGUAAAGCGUGCGCAGGCGGUUUUGUAAGACAGGUGUGAAAUCCCCGGGCUCAACCUGGGAACUGCACUUGUGACUGCAAGGCUAGAGUGUGUCAGAGGGAGGUGGAAUUCCGCGUGUAGCAGUGAAAUGCGUAGAGAUGCGGAGGAACACCGAUGGCGAAGGCAGCCUCCUGGGAUAACACUGACGCUCAGGCACGAAAGCGUGGGGAGCAAACAGGAUUAGAAACCCCAGUAGUCC